UGCCACAGCCAUAUCACCCUGCAACCCAAGACCGGUUACUCAUAGAAGCUUAGCAGGGCUGAGCCUGGUAGUGCCGGAAUGGGAGAUCACAUGGGAGGGCUCGAUUGCUGUUGGAA
ensembl:rRNA 5S_rRNA 5S ribosomal RNA